GCCUUCGUGGCAUAAUUGGUAGCAUGCUCGAUGCGUAUUCAAGAGGUCCAGGUUCAAGUCCCGGCGAGGGUA
rnacentral:tRNA from 1 species